AAACCGGAGCUAAUACCGGAUAGUUCCUUGAACCGCAUGGUUCAAGGAUGAAAGACGGUUUCGGCUGUCACUUACAGAUGGACCCGCGGCGCAUUAGCUAGUUGGUGGGGUAAUGGCUCACCAAGGCGACGAUGCGUAGCCGACCUGAGAGGGUGAUCGGCCACACUGGGACUGAGACACGGCCCAGACUCCUACGGGAGGCAGCAGUAGGGAAUCUUCCGCAAUGGACGAAAGUC
rnacentral:rRNA from 1 species